rnacentral:rRNA from 1 species
AAGACCUUGCACUUUUGGAGCGGCCGAUGUCUGAUUAGCUAGUUGGUGGGGUAAUGGCCUACCAAAGCGUCGAUCAGUAGCUGGUCUGAGAGGACGGCCAGCCACACUGGGACUGAGACACGGCCCAGGCUCCUACGGGAGGCAGCAGUGGGGAAUUUUGGACAAUGGGCGCAAGCCUGAUCCAGCCAUGCCGCGUGAGUGAAUAAGGCCUUCGGGUUGUAAAGCUCUUUCAGCCGGGAAGAAAAGGUUGCGAUUAAUAAUCGCAAUUUAUGACGGUACCGGAAGAAGAAGCACCGGCUAACUACGUGCCAGCAGCCGCGGUAAUACGUAGGGUGCGAGCGUUAAUCGGAAUUACUGGGCGUAAAGGGUGCGCAGGCGGUCUUGUAAGUCAGAUGUGAAAUCCCCGGGCUUAACCUGGGAACU